UUAAUUGCAUUAUUGUUUUAAUAAUUUUUCGUUAAAAAAUAGUUUUUUUUUAAGUUUUUUUUUCUCAUUUUACUGUUUAUUUUCAACCAUAACCCUGAACUUUGAAUUUAUUUAAGGGUACCUGCUGGUAGUGUGUGGUCCAGACCGUAAGUUUCGAGAGGUGAGGCAGUAAAACCCUUGAUUUAGUACACUGUAGUUGUUGUUAAGAAAAUAAACAAUAAGGGGGAGGAUAGAGAUAGAGAGUAAGUGAGAAACUGAAAAAUAACUAGUUCGGUAAAAUAAAG
rnacentral:lncRNA from 1 species